AUGCUGACAGGCCGAGCAGCAGCAGGACAGGCUUGUCUACAGAGAUAAACAACUGGUUGGCUGAGCGGGGCCUCUACUUGUGCCCCGCCUCUGCGUCUUGCUGUGAGGAAUGUAAUCUGUCCUUUCCUAGGACAUAAGUUCUUCCAGAGUCACUGCUUCACUAUAGUUACAUUUGAAAGACAGUCAAACCCUUGCUGAUAUGAAGAUUUUUCUAAGACUUAGCUCUUCUCUUCUGAAGAAUUAAUAGAAAGCUGAGUGCUGAAGAAUUGAUGCUUUGGAACUGUGGUGUUGGAGAAGAUUCUUGAGAGUCCGUUGGACUGCAAGGAGAUCCAACCAGUCCAUCUGAAAGGAGAUCAGUCCUGAAUGUUCAUUGGAAGGACUGAUGUUGAAGCUGAAACUCCAGUACUUUGGCCACCUGAUGUGAAGAGCUGACUCAUUUGAAAAGACCCUGAUGCUGGGAAAGAUUGAAGGCAGGAGGAGAAGGGGAUGACAGAUGAUGAGAUGGUCGGAUGGCAUCACCAAUGUGAGUUUGAGUAAACUCCUGGAAUUGGUGAUGGCUAGGGAGGCCUGACGUGCUGCAGUCCAUGGGGUCACAAAGAAUUGGACAUGACUGAGCAACUGAACUGAACUGAACUGAAUGCUAUGCUCAGAAACUUCCUGGGCAAUCAUUCUUUAGUUUCUACUUUCAGAUUCUUUUGGAGAAGCAAAUGGCAACCCACUCCAGUACUCUUGCCUGGGAAAGUCCAUGGACAGAGGAGCCUGGCGGACUACAGUCCUUGGGGAUCACAAAGAGUCGGACAUGACUGAGCAGCUGAACGACAACAGUGCUGCCGAGGCUUUUCAGGGAAGCUCUGGAGCCCAUUAGUCCUUUACUGCCAUAGGUCUAGAGACUUGCCUAACCUCUCUGAGCCUUGUUUUCUCAUCUGUGAAAUGGGAAUAGCAGCCUCGACCUCACAGCCUUGCUGGGAGUAUUAGGAUGUGGAGACCAGGGCUCAGCAGUGUUACUGACCCUUACACACUGAAGUGAACAUUCAGGAACAGCAGAAUGAAUGGACUGAUCAGAGUUUGGAAAUGUCUUUUCCACUGGCUUUUCCCGAGCUUUCCAAAGCUGGAGCUGUUUUUCCCUUCUCACCACUUCUCCUGGCUCCUCAUUCACCCUCCUCUCUAGCUCCACUGGGAUGCUCUGCCUUCCACGUCCUUCCCACCCCUCAAGUCUCAGCUCUCUCAUUUUGUAACCCCUCAGUCACUUCCUUCCAUGCUUCCAAUCCCCGGAGAGGGCCCCUCCAACCCACAGUUCACAGCAGACUUGCUGUCUGAACCACAUCCUCUUUAAACCAUUAUGGAAUCUUAUUCCUCCACCACUGGAGUGUAAACGUCCAAAGGCCUGGGGUCCUAUCCCUCUUCCAGAAACCAGACACAGACUAGGAAACAUGCCACCAGCUCAUCGAUUCUUGUUCAGUGAAUGAAUUCAUCAUCUUCACAAAUUCUUACAGAAUGAGUCAAAUAAAAAAUAUAAGUGCUUGCUAAGUCCUGCCCCGUAGCUUAGCAUCCAAGCCUGUUAUACUCUGUAUCCAGACUCCCUGUUCCGCCCUCAGUUUCAGCCAAGUGCCCUCAUGCUGUGCCUCUCACUGAUUUCUGCCUUUGGACCUUUGUUUUCUCUGUUCUUUGUCUCUUGAAUGACCCCUGUACUCGACCAAGGUCCCACUUAUCCAUCUAGGUUCAAGUUCAGUGCCAGCUUACCUACAGAGUCAGCUUCCCCACAGAGUCAGCUUCCCCUUCAAACAGAAUCCCUCUUUCCUUUCCUUAUUCUCACUGAUUUUAGACACACUUUAAAAAUGUCUGUCCAUUUUUUUUUUGCCUGUAUAUGCUUAUUUAGGUAUGUCCCCCAACUCCAUUUAAACUUCUUGAGAACAGAGACCAUAUUUUGCCCUCACAAGGUUAUUAUGAGGGUUAAUGAGAUAGCAUAGGUUAGAAAAGCACAGAGUUACUUGUGUUACAUUUGUGGCAUCUUAGGACUUCCCUGGUGGUCCAGUGGCUAAGACUCUAUGCUCCCAAUGCAGGGGGCCCAGGUUCGAUCCCUAGUCAGAGAACUAAAAGAUCCUGCAUGCCACAGCUAAGACCUGGUGGGGACAAAUAAAUAAAAUAUACUUUUAAAAAUUGUGGUAUCUUGGUCACCCUCCACCCAUUUGUUGCUCCAAGACCUAGUUCUCAGCUUGGUAAACAUAUGCUUGAUAAUCUGUACUGCAUAAAUGAUUAAAAAAAAAAUAAAAGGAGCCCUCUUGGAGGUCUGUGCUUGAAAGUAGGAUAGGAGGAUCAUUGAAUGUAUU
ensembl:lncRNA